rnacentral:lncRNA from 1 species
CAGAUUUCAAGGGUGGCACACAGAUGCCACCUCUUAAUGGGGAUGUGUCCAAGAAUUUGUAGACAUAUUUGAAACCACCACAGUUUGGGAGAAAGCAGAGCUUGCUAGUUGUCUAACUACGUUCCAUUUUUACCUUCCUAGUAACAGAAUCCCUAUGUUAUCAGUUAACUCAGAUUUUUUAAAAUCUACUUUUCCUGGCCUCCAUAAAAGAUGUGUGUCCAAUGAGAAGAAAGGAGAAGUCAUUGGAUGAGCCUUUGGGAAAGUUAUUUUAUAAACUUUAAAGAAUCUUCAUAGGAUAGUAUACUCUUCUAGAAAGUGUCUCUUUCCCCUUCUCCUCUUCUUUAUUCUCCCUGCCUGGAAUGCAGAUGAUAGAGUUGGAGCUCCAGUAGCCAUCUUGAGACCAUGAGGCAAUCCUGAGAAGGAAAGCUACACAUUAAGGAUGAGGGAGCAGAAAAAUUAAAGAAUACCAGGUCCUGGGAGACAUUGUGGAGCCAACAUGCCUACCCUGCCUUUUGAAUGUCAAGUUAUAAGACAGUAAAAUACAUGUCUAUUAUAUUUGGUGGUGUCUGUCACCAAAAUCAAUCCCUAACUGACACAAGCGAUCAGAAAGAGUUAGAUCAGAAAGGAGGAAAUGUAAUUUUUUUUGGUAAAGUAAUAAUUGCACAAGCAUUUGCUAAAAUGAGAAGGAGGUUGCCAGAUAAAGUAAGGAAAGACCUUUCAUGCAGAGGGAACAGUAUGGUUAAAAUAUCAAGGAAACCACUUGAUCACUUUCUCCUGAAAAAAUAACAUAUAUUAGAGUGGCUUGGUGAGGUUACUUCAAAUUAUAUUUGAUGAUUCCAGAGGAAGAAAUAGUAGAACUUCAGGUAUGCUGAGAAAGCACCUGUGCCAGAUGUUGACAUCGUUCAUUCCUACAUCCAUCCCCAUCUCCACAAACAAACUGGAAGAUGAAAACAAGGACUACACCUGGAAUAGUUCUCUCAGUAAGUGUGGAUUCAGUGCAGAAUAAAUGAAAUCAAUAUUGAAUGGC